rnacentral:sRNA from 1 species
GUAACAUGUUAAGAACAACUUACUUUGAAACUCAAAGACAAAAAUAUUUUGAAAAACCUUCUCAUGGGAAUAUGGAAUGUUAAUAUCCUUUACUUGUCUUGUGACAAUCUUAAGGUCGGUCCCAUCUUUUUGACAAAAGUUAACAACUGAAAAUUAUUUAGUUAUGAUAUAGCUAACUCGGUUUUAAUUUCAGGUGUUUAAUGACUGUAGUGAAACAAUAUAUGUAUUCAACAACCUGAUGUUGUUAACUAUUGUAUCGUGUGUAGAGUGGAAAUCUACCAUAUCUAUUCAAGAAUUAUCCAAUCUAGAAACUCUCGUCUUUAAAGUAGCAUACACAUUAUUCAGAUUAACAAUUGAUAUGCUUUUACACAUAAAUAAAUUUUGAAAUAGUCUAUUUUUCUGCAUAACGAAUAUACGUACUAAACAAUGUGCAACGAGGAUAGGUGUUUAUGCAAACGUGAGGGGAGGGGGGGGGAAGGAAAUACUGUUUGGUGAAAUUUCUUAUGAUGAUGAAGACAUAGAGAAGCAGGUGAAACACUUUCUAAAGACAAAGUCGAAUCUUGAACAAAGGAUAUUGUGCUAUGAUACACCAACUGAUAAGAUGUUACUAUUAGAAGUUACUUUUAUUCGCUUAUGAAUUUUAAAUUCAUUCUUAAACUCAUGAAAAGCCUUUUUUAGUCUGGAUGACACAAGUGUUUUUAGGAGAAACAAACGUUUUGUAAAACUUCAAACGUGGAAAAUGAAAGAAAUGUGGAAAAUCAUCUCAUUUUCAGAUUAAAUGACAAAAGCUUUCAUGUAU